rnacentral:lncRNA from 13 species
UGGUCUAAACAGUACUAUCCCCAGGCUAGUAGAGCACAAUUAAUACUAGCCUGGUCUAAACAGCACUGGCCAGCCAGGCUAGAAGACCACAAUUAAUACUAGCCUGGUCUCAACAGUACUAUCCCCAGGCUAGUAGACUGCAAUUAAUACUAGCCUGGUCUCAACAGUACUAUCCCCAGGCUAGUAGACCACAAUUAAUACUAGCCUGGUCAACUAGCCUGAUCUCAACAGUACUAUCCCCAGGCUAGUAGACCACAAUUAAUACUAGCCUGGUCUAAACAGUACUAUCCCCAGGCUAGUAGACCGCAAUUAAUACUAAACUGGUCUAAACAGCACUGGCCAGCCGGGCUAGUAGACCACAAUUAAUACUAGCCUGGUCUCAACAGCACUAUCCCCAGGCUAGUAGACCACAAUUAAUACUAGCCUGAUCUAAACAGCACUGGCCAGCCAGGCUAGUAGACCGCAAUUAAUACUAGCCUGGUCUCAACAGCACUAUCCCAAGGCUAGUAGACCGCAAUUAAUACUAACCUGUUCUCAACAGCACUAUCCUCAGGCUAGUAGACCACAAUUAAUACUAGCCUGGUCUAAACAGUACUAUCCCCGGGCUAGUAGACCACAAUUAAUACUAGCCUGGUCUCAACAGUACUAUCCCCAGGCUAGUAGACCACAAUUAAUACUAGCCUGGUCUCAACAGUACUAUCCCCGGGCUAGCAGACCACAAUUAAUACUAGCCUGGUCUAAACAGCAAAGAGAAAACAUUGAAAAACCGUUCAUAGUUAAAAGCUUGGUUUGUUUAAUGCCAGAAUCAUUAUUUUACAUUUUAAACAAUUCAAUGGUUUUGCAUUUCUUUUUUUUUUACAUUAUUUUAUUUAUUUUUUACAAUAUGUACCACAUGUAUGUCUGCAUCAUACAACAGCAGAACCUAGUUGUCAUAAUGUAUAUACACUGUAGAUAAGAGGACUUGGGGUUAAAGGUUAGAGAGAGGAGACAGGGAAGAGCUAUUGGGGUGGAGGCUUUAUAAAACAAAACACAAACGCACAUGAAUCCAGUCAGGAUUGUGCUCAACGAACACACACAGCCACACACACACAGCCACACACACACACACGUGCUGGCAGACACACACACCCCAGAACUUCCCGCUGUGCCAGAGAUAGCAGCUUCCUCAAAAGGCAAAGACAAGUCACACACACUUAGUGGCAGUUCUGUCCAACACACACGCAUCGAGAGGAGGGAGACUAGAGCCACAGUCGCUUGAGAGGUGAGGGGCUACUAUACAGGAAGGUUUCUAGGCCUCAGGACCCCAACACACCUCUAGUAACAGGGGGGGGGGGGGCAGGUCUGUCCCACCACUCAGAACACAUGGCCAACACAGUUUCACCCCAGUGGUCUAGACAGGCUGCUGGUGAGCUACCAGUCCGUUUGUGCGAUCAUUCCAAGUCGUUGUCAUGCCAACCACGAGGAAAGGAGGGANNNNNNNNNNAUUGCUAUGUCAAGUGUUAAAAUCCCAAGUUAUUAAUUAAAAGUUUAUGGGGACAAAAACUGUCUAUAAAGUGGGGGACAGAUGACAAAGAGGGAGGGGCAUCAAGGAAUUCAAAAUGGCUACAGGGAUGGAUGUGCAAGAGUCAGGGCUUUGUGGUCACAGGGUCUGGGAUCCUGGGUGCCCCUCACCAGACGGUCUGGGAUCCUGGGUGCCCCUCACCAGACAGUCUGGGUGCC